GUUUGAUUGAUCUCAUUCUAAUUUUUGAAUUUUUAAAAUCAUUUGGUUACAAUUGGAGAAAAAAUGUGUUUUUAAUUCUCUCACUUUCACACGCAAAUAGAGAAGACGCCGUUCGCCGCCACUCACCCAUCAGUCGUUCCUACUCGUGCCUCCACGACCCUUCGACUGUCAAUUAUUGUCGGUGAGGGACUUCCAUCCGUUCUUCCCUCCUCUACUAGAGCAUCACCGUUGCGUAUUUUCCGUCAGUCGUCGCUGGUCUUCGCUGGAAUUUUGGUUGUGGAUGUUGGAUUGAACAUUUGAAGGAACUAGAGUCGCGAACGUUGGUCCAUUUUGGUUGGAAGUGUUUAUGAAGAUUGGGAGUGUAUUUGGACUGCUUUGCAUCUUGGAUAAGUCUUUUGGUGACUUUUGAAAUCUUUUUGUAAUUGAAAUUAGGUUCCAAAUGUUGGAAUUUAAUUUAGUUCUUAUGGUAGGGUUUGAUUCAAGGUUACUCUAAGCCAAGUAGGAGAUUUAGUUUCUGAGCUUAUCUUCCAGGUAAGUGACUAUUCCAUGAUGAUGAUUUUAUGGCCUGUUGGAUGUAUAUUAUGUAAAAAUCUAGGUGUUGGAUGUAUAUGUAUCAUAUGUUCUAGGUAGGUGACGAUACUAUGGUCAAUAACUAAGUAUUUAAUAGUUAUUUCACAUUAUGUGUACAUAUAGUAUGCUCAACAACCAUUUGAUAUGGAGUGUAGGUACUAUAUUAUGAAGUUCAUGCUUGACAUAGUAAAAAACAUGAGUAAAAUAAUUACAGACGCGGUAUGCAUUUUCUUAGACUAUCUUCUUUAACUAGAACGUUUGCAUUGAGUACGAUUUUGUUAAUAAAUUACAUUUACUUGUUUGUUUGCAACUGACGAGACAAACACCUUAUAGUAAGUUGAAAUUAGAUACGACGAGGGUUGAGUAUUGUGACUUUAUAGGACACUACACAUGAUGAAUUUUUGUUAUGCGAUGCAUCAAUAGUUUAGUACGUAUAAGUUUAGGAUAUGAGAUAUGAUGUCAAUUAUGGUAGGGUUAGGUAUUAUAUGAUCAGAUUUUUAGAUACAGGUUGUUUGUAGAAACAUUAUUUUACUGGUUGAUUAAUGAAAUUUACUCGGUUGAUUCGUUGGGUAGUAAGUUUAUUAAAUAUGUUACAAGUUUUAGUGAGACGGUAUGAUGAUAUGAAUUUAGAUAUGUGUUAUUAACAGUUUGGAACUGUGUAUAGUUGAUGGAUUGAAAGAUAUCUGUAUAGUUGGUGGGUUUGCAUGAGUUGAGUGAAGUUGUAUAAAGUUAUUUUGUAGGAGUUAUUUGAAGUUGUUGGUUUGUAGUUGCUACAAACUUUAUGCAAGUGAUUUAGUAUAUUUUGUUGUUUGUGUAUAAAGUGCAGGUUAGGUACCAUGAGCGUAAAUGCAGAUUUCAGAUGAGAAGCUUGUUUGAGGUCGAUUACAGGUUAUAUAUGAGGAGUUCCACUGACCCAUAUAUAUAUAUAUUUUCAAAACGAUAUAGUUGACGGGUAAAAAAUGUCAACAAAAGUGUAUAGUUAACGCUUAAAAACCGUCAAUAAAAAAGAAUUUUUUGACGUUCUU